UACGAAGGGGGCUAGCGUUGUUCGGAAUUACUGGGCGUAAAGCGUGCGCAGGCGGUUAUUCAAGUCAGAGGUGAAAGCCCCGGGCUCAACCCGGGAAUGGCCUUUGAGACUGGAUGGCUAGAGUGUGAGAGAGGUGAGUGGAAUUCCCAGUGUAGAGGUGAAAUUCGUAGAUAUUGGGAAGAACACCCGUGGCGAAGGCGGCUCACUGGCUCGCAACUGACGCUCAUGCACGACAGCGUGGGGAGCAAACAGG
rnacentral:rRNA from 1 species